CAAAGCUGGACGGUACUGCUGCCAUCUCGGCUCACUGCAACCUCCCUGCCUGAUUCUCCUGCCUCAGCCUGCCGAGUGCCUGCGAUUGCAGGCGCGCGCCGCCACGCCUGACUGGUUUUCGUUUUUUUUUUGGUGGAGAUGGGGUUUCGCUGUGUUGGCCGGGCUGGUCUCCAGCUCCUAACCGCGAGUGAUCCGCCAGCCUCGGCCUCCCGAGGUGCCGGGAUUGCAGAUGGAGUCUCGUUCACUCAGUGCUCAAUGGUGCCCAGGCUGGAGUGCAGUGGCGUGAUCUCGGCUUGCUACAACCACCUCCCAGCCGCCUGCCUUGGCCUCCCAAAGAGCCGAGAUUGCAGCCUCUGCCCGGCCGCCACGCCGUCUGGGAAGUGAGGAGCGUCUCUGCUUGGCCACCCAUCGUCUGGGAUAUGAGGAGCCCCUCUGCCUGGCUGCCCAGUGUGGAAAGUGAGGAGCGUCUCUGCCCGGCCGCCAUCCCAUCUAGGAAGCGAGAAGCGCCUCUUCCCCGCCGCCAUCCCAUCUAGGAAGUGAGGAGCGUCUCUGCCCGGCCGCCCAUCGUCUGAGAUGUGGGGAGCACCUCUGCCCCACCGCCCUGUCUGGGAUGUGAGGAGCGCCUCUGCUGGGCCGCAAC
rnacentral:lncRNA from 10 species